rnacentral:rRNA from 1 species
AUUGAACGCUGGCGGCAGGCCUAACACAUGCAAGUCGAACGAGUGGCGGACUGGUGAGUAAUGUCUGGGAAACUGCCUGAUGGAGGGGGAUAACUACUGGAAACGGUAGCUAAUACCGCAUACCAUCGGAUUUGCUCAGCUGGGAUUAGCUAGUAGGGGGGGUAACGGCUCACCUAGGCGCCGCUCCCUAGCUGGUCUGAGAGGAUGACCAGCCACACUGGAACUGAGACACGGUCCAGACUCCUACGGGAGGCAGCAGUGGGGAAUAUUGCACAAUGGGCGCAAGCCUGAUGCAGCCAUGCCGCGUGUAUGAAGAAGGCCUUCGGGUUGUAAAGUACUGUCAGCGGGGAAGCGUUACCCGCAGAAGAAGCACCGGCUAACUCCGUGCCAGCAGCCGCGGUAAUAC